AAGACUGUGCUUUCAGGGAUAGUUUCUAUAGUUUGUUCCUAGAGAAGUUUGUGUAGAGAACCUGAAACCACGGGAGCAGCCAGAGCACUCUCUCCUGAGCACAAAGCCGGUUCAGGAGUUGCUUUCACAAGGGCUUUUCCCUCUGAUGAUGGUUCUUCCCUUCCCUGGGAAGAGGGAGAGGGAGGGGAGGCAGGCUGAGUGA
rnacentral:snoRNA from 1 species